CAGGAUGAACGCUGGCGGCGUGCCUAAUACAUGCAAGUCGAACGCUUUGUGGUUCAACUGAUUUGAAGAGCUUGCUCAGAUAUGACGAUGGACAUUGCAAAGAGUGGCGAACGGGUGAGUAACACGUGGGAAACCUACCUCUUAGCAGGGGAUAACAUUUGGAAACAGAUGCUAAUACCGUAUAACAAUGACAACCGCAUGGUUGUUAUUUAAAAGAUGGUUCUGCUAUCACUAAGAGAUGGUCCCGCGGUGCAUUAGCUAGUUGGUAAGGUAAUGGCUUACCAAGGCGAUGAUGCAUAGCCGAGUUGAGAGACUGAUCGGCCACAAUGGGACUGAGACACGGCCCAUACUCCUACGGGAGGCAGCAGUAGGGAAUCUUCCACAAUGGGCGAAAGCCUGAUGGAGCAACGCCGCGUGUGUGAUGAAGGGUUUCGGCUCGUAAAACACUGUUGUAAGAGAAGAAUGACAUUGAGAGUAACUGUUCAAUGUGUGACGGUAUCUUACCAGAAAGGAACGGCUAAAUACGUGCCAGCAGCCGCGGUAAUACGUAUGUUCCAAGCGUUAUCCGGAUUUAUUGGGCGUAAAGCGAGCGCAGACGGUUAUUUAAGUCUGAAGUGAAAGCCCUCAGCUCAACUGAGGAAUUGCUUUGGAAACUGGAUGACUUGAGUGCAGUAGAGGAAAGUGGAACUCCAUGUGUAGCGGUGAAAUGCGUAGAUAUAUGGAAGAACACCAGUGGCGAAGGCGGCUUUCUGGACUGUAACUGACGUUGAGGCUCGAAAGUGUGGGUAGCAAACAGGAUUAGAUACCCUGGUAGUCCACACCGUAAACGAUGAGUGCUAGGUGUUUGAGGGUUUCCGCCCUUAAGUGCCGCAGCUAACGCAUUAAGCACUCCGCCUGGGGAGUACGACCGCAAGGUUGAAACUCAAAGGAAUUGACGGGGACCCGCACAAGCGGUGGAGCAUGUGGUUUAAUUCGAAGCAACGCGAAGAACCUUACCAGGUCUUGACAUCCCUUGACAACUCCAGAGAUGGAGCGUUCCCUUCGGGGACAAGGUGACAGGUGGUGCAUGGUUGUCGUCAGCUCGUGUCGUGAGAUGUUGGGUUAAGUCCCGCAACGAGCGCAACCCUUAUUACUAGUUGCCAGCAUUCAGUUGGGCACUCUAGUGAGACUGCCGGUGACAAACCGGAGGAAGGUGGGGAUGACGUCAAAUCAUCAUGCCCCUUAUGACCUGGGCUACACACGUGCUACAAUGGCGUAUACAACGAGUUGCCAACCCGCGAGGGUGAGCUAAUCUCUUAAAGUACGUCUCAGUUCGGAUUGUAGGCUGCAACUCGCCUACAUGAAGUCGGAAUCGCUAGUAAUCGCGGAUCAGCACGCCGCGGUGAAUACGUUCCCGGGUCUUGUACACACCGCCCGUCACACCAUGAGAGUUUGUAACACCCAAAGCCGGUGGGGUAACCUUCGGGAGCCAG
rnacentral:rRNA from 1 species